CCCGCGCAACGGAGGAGGGGCGCUGUGCCCUCUCCCCAACGGCGGUCAGCUUGGAACGCCUGCCCGGCGCACGCCCGGGGCCGGGGAGCCGAAAUCGGUGCCAGCCGCACCCGGGCGUGUUGCUGGUGCGCCCUCCCCUCGCCCCCGUCCCUGGGGUCCUUGACCCAGGCUCUUGGGGCUAGCCUAUCUUCUGAGGAGCACAAGGUCCCUGGGGGCUCAGGGAAGAGAAAUUGGAGAAAGGGCAAGGAAGCCCCCAAGAUAGAUCACCCAUUGCCUGAUUUCGCAGGAGACUGUUCGCCUUCAGUUCUCCAGCAGCUCGGGGAUCAUGGCCCACUGAACCCCCAAGCGCUUUCACCCGAACCCAAGGAGGACGACCAGGAAAGACGGGAACUCGCGUAGACACGCCCGGAAGCCCUUGUCAUAUGAGGAGAAUGAUGAUUCCAACACAGACAGGGCCCCUGACGGGGCAGUAGGAAAGGAGAAUUGCUUUGGAAGGAGCAUAGGCUGGACUGCCAGCACUCAUAGGAGGCUUCAUGUGUGCCCAGGACUGUGAAAAUUAAAUACAGAACACCCAGUUCAGUUUGAAUUUCAGAUAAACUAUGAAUAAUGUUUAGUAUAUCUCAAUUUAACUGGA